rfam:Myotis lucifugus cont2.38394, whole genome shotgun sequence.
GGUGGUUCUCAGGUGACACACCCCAGAACUGGGCUCCCUUCUCUCUGGUUCCAGGUGCAUCACCUGAGAACCACA